CGAACGGCUGAGUAACACGUGGGCAACCUGCCCUUUGCACUGGGAUAGCCUCGGGAAACCGAGGUUAAUACCGGAUACUCCAUAUUUGUCGCAUGGCGAAUAUGGGAAAGCUCCGGCGGCAAAGGAUGGGCCCGCGGCCUGUUAGCUAGUUGGUGGGGUAGUGGCCUACCAAGGCAAUGAUGGGUAGCCGGCUUGAGAGAGUGUACGGCCACAUUGGGACUGAGACACGGCCCAGACUCCUACGGGAGGCAGCAGUC
rnacentral:rRNA from 1 species